ACAAUGAUGAUUGUUUUUGUAUGAUCCCUUUGAUUAAAUUAAGUAAAUCCUCCUCUAAGAAGAUCUGAGUUC